UGGGGAAUAUUGCACAAUGGGCGCAAGCCUGAUGCAGCCAUGCCGCGUGUAUGAAGAAGGCCUUCGGGUUGUAAAGUACUUUCAGCGGGGAGGAAGGGAGUAAAGUUAAUACCUUUGCUCAUUGACGUUACCCGCAGAAGAAGCACCGGCUAACUCCGUGCCAGCAGCCGCGGUAAUACGGAGGGUGCAAGCGUUAAUCGGAAUUACUGGGCGUAAAGCGCACGCAGGCGGUUUGUUAAGUCAGAUGUGAAAUCCCCGGGCUCAACCUGGGAACUGCAUCUGAUACUGGCAAGCUUGAGUCUCGUAGAUGGGGGUAGAAUUCCAGGUGUAGCGGUGAAAUGCGUAGAGAUCUGGAGGAAUACCGGUGGCGAAGGCGGCCCCCUGGACGAAGACUGACGCUCAGGUGCGAAAGCGUGGGGAGCAAACAGG
rnacentral:rRNA from 1 species